CAGGGAGACAACAAAAUGUUAAAUAUUAUUAUUUUGUCACCUUAGGUCGAUCGGUAUCUCACGUUCUUAAUUUAUUAAGAAUUUCAUUUCCUAAGUUUUUCUAGGUCACACCCAUUAUUUUUCCUGGGCCAUUAGCUCAGGUGGUUAGAGCGCACCCCUGAUAAGGGUGAGGUCCCUGGUUCAAGUCCAGGAUGGCCCAUAUCUCUAUGUUGGGGGUAUAGCUCAGUUGGUAGAGCGCCUGCUUUGCAAGCAGGAUGUCAGCGGUUCGAGUCCGCUUACCUCCACUGAUUACCACCUCUUCCAUAACCGGUAGUAAAGGAAAUGUUUUGAGUUGUGAUCAAAUUCUGAAAGAAUCUAGCUUCCUAAUGAAAUCAUUAAGAUGCUGGACUCAUUGAAUUAAUUUCAUUGUUUUCAGAGAACCUUGACAACUGCAUAGAUUAUUUUUAAAGACAAUAAGCAUCUUUAAUGAUGCAGAUUUAUUAUUUGUGCGAAUGCAUUAAUAACAAUUCUAUUAAGCUGAUGCUUCAAUUUUUGAAGUUAUU
rnacentral:tRNA from 1 species